UGGGGGAUAUUGCACAAUGGGCGAAAGCCUGAUGCAGCGACGCCGCGUGGGGGAUGAAGGCCUUCGGGUUGUAAACUUCUUUUGCUCUGAACAAGGCGCACCAUGGGGUGUGUUGAGUGUAGGGGUUGAUUAGCGCCGGCUAACUACGUGCCAGCAGCCGCGGUAAUACGUAGGGCGCGAGCGUUGUCCGGAAUUAUUGGGCGUGAAGGGCUUGUAGGUGGCUGGUUGCGUCUGUCGUGAAAGCUCAUGGCUUAACUGUGGGUUUGCGGUGGGUACGGGCUGGCUUGAGUGCAGUAGGGGAGGCUGGAAUUCCUGGUGUAGCGGUGGAAUGCGCAGAUAUCAGGAGGAAUACCGGUGGCGAAGGCGGGUCUCUGGGCUGUUACUGACACUGAGGAGCGAAAGCAUGGGGAGCGAACAGG
rnacentral:rRNA from 1 species